AGGGGUGGCUAGAACUCUACAAGUAGCGGUGAAAUGCGUUGAUAUGUAGGGGAAUACCAAAAGCGUAGGCAGGCCACUGGGUGCCUCUUGACACUGCAUGAACGAAAGCGUGGGUAGCGAAUGGGAUUAGAUACCCCAGUAGUCCACGCCGUAAACGAUGAGUGCUUGCUUUUAGGAGGAGUCAAUCCCUCUUGGAGGCAAAAGCUAACGCUAUAAGCACUCCGCCUGCAGAGUACGGUCGCAAGACUAAAACGUAAAGGAAUUGACGGGAACCCGCACAAGCGGUGGAUCAUGCGGCUUAAUUCGACUCUAAGCGAGAAACCUCACCAAGGUUUGACAUGUAAUUGCCAACCCUAAGAAACUAGGGCUUCUUCGAGAGUAUUACACAGAUGAUGCACGGUCGUCGUCAGCUCGUGUCGUGAGAUGUUCGGUUAAGUCCGAAAACGAGCGCAACCCUUAUCUUUAGUUAUCUAAUGUCUAAAGAGACUGCCUGGGUUUAACCAGGAGGAAGGCAGGGAUGACGUCAGAUCAGCGUGUCUCUUACACCUUGGGCUGCACGCAUGAUACAAUGGGUAUGGUACAACGGGACGCCAAGCGGUAACGCAGAGCAAAUCCUAUAAAACCACCCCAAGUACGGAUUGAGGUCUGAAACUCGACCUCAUGAAGCUGGAAUCGCUAGUAAUCGCAAAUCAUCACGUUGCGGUGAAUACGUUCUCGGGUUUUGUACACACUGCCCGUCACACCAUGGGAGUUGGCCACGCCCGAAGUCGUUACUCUAACCGUUCGCGGAGGAGGGCGCCGAAGGCAG
rnacentral:rRNA from 1 species